UGUCCAUUUCCUAUACCUUUCAGGUUUUUCACUUAGCUUCCAUUAGCUCCAACAUCAGCCAGGAACACACUACCAGAAUCACACCAUCCGCCUAGUAAAUCCCUAUUUGAAUUUGAGCACUUACUGAACCCAAGCCAGUUUGAGUCUCCUCUAAACGAAAAUGCUUUAUUGCUCUCUUUCCAUUGGCCACAAAAAACCUCAUAAUCAACCCCUUGAAUAUAGAUAUAAUCAGAGUCCAGUGAUGAGAAUGCAAGUCCAGUUAUCUCAUAUUUUGAACAGUGCACCCAUCUUGCUAGUGGCGACCAUCUCCGAGGAUCAUAAAUAGUCACAGUGCGAUCAGCUCCACCCACAGCUAUAUUACCAGUUGAUGAACUGCAG
rnacentral:misc_RNA from 1 species